GUCGAAGUACAGGGGUGCCGAAUACGGCUGAGACGGGCGACCGCCCGGACCCUUGACCUGAUCAAGGUAAUGCUUGCGUAGGAACAGUACCGGCAAAACGCGU
rnacentral:ncRNA from 2 species